GGUAUUCCUAGCCGUAAACGAUGUCAACUAGGUGUAGGGGGUAUCCAACCCCCCUGUGCUGCAGCUAACGCGUUAAGUUGACCGCCUGGGGACUACGGCCGCAAGGCUAAAACUCAAAGGAAUUGACGGGGACCCGCACAAGCAGCGGAGCGUGUGGUUUAAUUCGAGGCUACGCGAAGAACCUUACCAGGGUUUGACAUGGCGGUGGUAGGGACGCGAAAGCGAACCGACCCUUCGGGGAGCCGUCACAGGUGCUGCGUGGCUGUCGUCAGCUCGUGCCGUGAGGUGUUAGGUUAAGUCCUGUAACGAGCGCAACCCUCGUCGCUAGUUAUACGUGUCUAGCGAGACUGCCGGUGAUAAACCGGAGGAAGGUGGGGAUGACGUCAAGUCAGCAUGGCCUUUAUAUCCUGGGCUACACACACGCUACAAUGGCCGGUACAGUGGGCCGCGAAGCCGCGAGGCGAAGCCAAUCCCCCAAAGCCGGUCUCAGUUCGAAUUGCAGGCUGCAACUCGCCUGCAUGAAGUCGGAGUUGCUAGUAACCGCGCGUCAGCAACAGUGCGGUGAAUACGUUCCCGGGUCUUGUACACACCGCCCGUCACGUCAUGGAAGUUGGCAACGCCUGAAGUCAGUGGGCUAACCCU
rnacentral:rRNA from 1 species